rnacentral:lncRNA from 1 species
CUCCGGCAGUUUUUGUUCCCUUCUCAUUAGCUUCAUCAUGUGCCGGUCCAGAAGUAGUGGGACCUCCCUGACCUAUCCCAUCAGUAAUAUCUUCCUCCUUUACAUUGUUGACAUUAAUGCAGAAAUCACUAUCAUUAAUACUAUCCUCAUCACUAUCACCAAAGUUGCUCCACUCAUGCUCACUAUCACUUUCUGAUCCAUCUUCAGCAUCUUCAUUGUUUUCUUCAACCCCUCCACUUACAUUUCCAUCAAGAGGCUCACCCAUUCCCUCAUCUUUCUUCCCUUGUCCAUUUGUAUCUUUCUGAACCUCAUUCUCAGUAUUAUUGUUCUUUAAUUGCUCCCCUUAUACAGUCACAUCUUCAAUGAGCUCAUUUAAAGCCUCCUCAUCUACCAUUUCAGGGGAAACUAUAUAGAGCAAAAUGACACCAAAUUCAUCAUGCCACUUAAGCAUCUCUAGUACUACUUUAUCAUCAUCCACAAGCUUCACGCCAUUAGAUAUAACUCCAAUAGGCAUAUAUCAUUGAUUCU